AUUGAACGCUGGCGGCAGGCCUAACACAUGCAAGUCGAACGAGUGGCGGACGGGUGAGUAAUGUCUGGGAAACUGCCCGAUGGCGGGGGAUCACUACUGGAAACGGUAGCUAAUACCGCAUACCAUCGGAAGUUCCCCGAUGGGAGUAGCUUGUAGGUGAGGUAACGGCUCACCUAGGCGUCGAUCACUCGCUGGUCGGAGAGGAGGAUCAGUCACGCUGGGACUGAGACACGGUCCAGACUCCUACGGGAGGCAGCAGGGGGGGAUAUUGAACAAUGGGCGCAAGCCUGAUCCAGCCAUGCCGCGUGUGUGAAGAAGGUCUUCGGAUUGUAAAGCACUUUAAUUUGGGAGGCGUUACCAGCAGAAUAAGCACCGGCUAACUUCGUGCCAGCAGCCGCGGUAAUAC
rnacentral:rRNA from 1 species